rnacentral:rRNA from 1 species
GUGUACAGCCAUGCCACCCUGAACAUGCCCAAUCUUGUCUGAUCUCGGAAGCUAAGCAGGGUCGGGCCUGGUUGGUACUUGGAUGGGAGACCACCUAGGAAGACCAGGUGCUGUAGGCA